CGACUGCUAAGACUGGAUAGGAAAUAAAAAGGCAUCUUUUUAUUUUUAAAAGACCUUUUUCGAAAGGUAUGCUUAAAGAUGAGCUUGCGCCACAUUAGUUUCUUGGUGGGGUAAUGGCCUACCAAGACGAUGAUGUGUAGCUGGACUGAGAGGUCGAACAGCCACAUUGGGACUGAGACACGGCCCAAACUCCUACGGGAGGCAGCAGUAGGGAAUUUUCGGCAAUGGAGGAAACUCUGACCGAGCAACGCCGCGUGAACGAUGAAGUAUUUCGGUAUGUAAAGUUCUUUUAUUGAAGAAGAAAAAAUAGUGGAAAAACUAUCUUGACGUUAUUCAAUGAAUAAGCCCCGGCUAACUAUGUGCCAGCAGCCGCGGUAAGACAUAGGGGGCGAGCGUUAUCCGGAAUUAUUGGGCGUAAAGGGUGCGUAGGCGGUUAGGAAAGUCUAUAAUUUAAUUUCAGUGCUUAACGCUGUCUUGUUAUAGAAACUACCUUGACUAGAGUUAGAUAGAGGCAAGCGGAAUUCCAUGUGUAGCGGUAAAAUGUGUAAAUAUAUGGAGGAACACCAGAAGCGUAGGCGGCUUGCUGGGUCUUGACUGACGCUGAGGCACGAAAGCGUGGGUAGCAAACAGGAUGGAUACACUGGUAGUCCACGCCGUAAACGAUGAGUACUAAGUGUCGGGAUAAAACUCGGUACUGAAGUUAACACAUUAAGUACUCCGCCUGAGUAGUACGUACGCAAGUUUGAAACUUAAAGGAAUUGACGGGACUCCGCACAAGCGGGGGAUCAUGUUGUUUAAUUCGAAGAUACACGAAAAAUCUUACCAGGUCUUGACAUGCUCUGCAAAGCUAUAGAAAUAUAGUGGAGGUUAUCAGGGACACAGGUGGUGCAUGGUUGUCGUCAGUUCGUGUCGUGAGAUGUUAGGUUAAGUCCUAAAACGAGCGCAACCCUCGUCGUUAGUUACCAGCACGUAAUGGUGGGCACUUUAACGAGACUGCCAAUUAAACAUUGGAGGAAGGUGAGGAUUACGUCAAAUCAUCAUGCCCCUGAUGAUCUAGGCUACAAACGUGAUACAAUGGCUGUCACAAAGGGUAGCUGAAGCGCGAGUUUUUAGCCAAUCUCAAAAAAGCAGUCUCAGUUCGGAUUGAAGUCUGUAACUCGACUUCAUGAAGUUGGAAUCGCUAGUAAUCGCGAAUCAGCAUGUCGCGGUGAAUACGUUCUCGGGGUUUGUACACACCGCCCGUCA
rnacentral:rRNA from 1 species